rnacentral:rRNA from 1 species
AUUGAACGCUGGCGGCAGGCCUAACACAUGCAAGUCGAACGAGUGGCGGAAGGGUGAGUAAUGUCUGGGAAACUGCCCGAUGGAGGGGGAUAACUACUGGAAACGGUAGCUAAUACCGCAUACCAUCGGAUGUGCCCAGCUGGGAUUAGCUAGUAGGUGGGGUAACGGCUCACCUAGGCGACGAUCCCUAGCUGGUCUGAGAGGAUGACCAGCCACACUGGAACUGAGCCACGGUCCCGACUCCUACGUGAGGCCGCAGUGGGGAAUAUUGCACAAUGGGCUCAAGCCUGAUGCAGCCAUGCCGCGUGUAUGAAGAAGUCCUUCGGGUUGUAAAGUACUUUCAGCGAGGAGGCGUUACUCGCAGAAGAAGCACCGGCUAACUCCGUGCCAGCAGCCGCGGUAAUUC